rnacentral:rRNA from 1 species
CGACUACAGUCAGAGUUUGAUCCUGGCUCAGGAUGAACGCUGGCGGCGUGCUUAACACAUGCAAGUCGAACGAAGCAGUUUGUUUGGAUCCCUUCGGGGUGACGAACUUACUGACUGAGUGGCGGACGGGUGAGUAACGCGUGGGUAACCUGCCUUGCACAGGGGGAUAACAGUUAGAAAUGACUGCUAAUACCGCAUAACCCGCUAGUACCGCAUGGUACAGACGGAAAAGAUUUAUCGGUGUAAGAUGGACCCGCGUCUGAUUAGCUAGUUGGUGAGGUAACGGCUCACCAAGGCGACGAUCAGUAGCCGGCUUGAGAGAGUGAACGGCCACAUUGGGACUGAGACACGGCCCAA